AAAGGAAUCCAGCCUUCUGUCGGGACAUUUCCGACCUCAGCCAGCUCAUCCUCUGGCAUGCGGAAGUAAGCAUGAGCUGCCUGGCUGCGGGACCAAUCUUGAACCUGUAACCAUCAUGGUAGGAUUAAAGAUAUUCUAGACACCCUGAUUGCCAGAUUGCAAUCAGACUAUUAAAACACUGGACUCUAAGAAAUUGCAGUUUUCCUGGGAGAAGGAAAGGACAAGGGCACAGAUGCCAGCCAAUAGAGGAACUUGACUCCAGGAAAGAUAGAUCACAGUUGGGAAAACUUGUCAGACUACCUUCCCAGAGAAACUGGGCGAACAGAUGAUGGAUGCGACCACACCUUGCCGACGACUGCUUACUUAAGCAUAGCUGUUGCCUUUAAGCCUAAACAAACCACACGUCAGCCCCUAAGAUGGACUAGGAUAAGAGAAUGUCCCGUCGUUGUUCUUUCCAAUGAGACCGAGUUAACACCUUUCUUCAAGUUUCCCCUUACACUUUGUCUUUUAGUUGGCCUGUUGAGAAUGAGUUAAGGCUGCUAGGGCCCAGGUUCUGACCCUUCCUUAUACCUCAGAAGACGUUUCUUAAUCCUGUAACUAGUAGCCUCACAUUUAGCACUUUCCCCCAACAUUCUCACAAACUGUCAAUGGGGUUUCAGUGUAUAGUCUUGGCUGGUCUGGAACGCAGCAUGUUAUAUAAAUCAAUCUGGCCUCAAAAGUUAUAGAGCUCCACAUGCCUCUGCC
rnacentral:lncRNA from 1 species